rnacentral:rRNA from 1 species
UACGUAGGUGGCAACGUUGUCCGGAAUUAUUGGGCGUAAAGCGCGCGCAGGCGGUCCUUUAAGUCUGAUGUGAAAUCUUGCGGCUCAACCGCAAGCGGUCAUUGGAAACUGGGGGACUUGAGUGCAGAAGAGGAAAGCGGAAUUCCACGUGUAGCGGUGAAAUGCGUAGAGAUGUGGAGGAACACCAGUGGCGAAGGCGGCUUUCUGGUCUGUAACUGACGCUGAGGCGCGAAAGCGUGGGGAGCAAACAGGAUUAGAUACCCCGGUAGUCC